rnacentral:rRNA from 1 species
UUAAAUUGAAGAGUUUGAUCAUGGCUCAGAUUGAACGCUGGCGGCAGGCCUAACACAUGCAAGUCGAACGGUAACAGGAAACAGCUUGCUGUUUCGCUGACGAGUGGCGGACGGGUGAGUAAUGUCUGGGAAACUGCCUGAUGGAGGGGGAUAACUACUGGAAACGGUAGCUAAUACCGCAUAACGUCGCAAGACCAAAGAGGG